AUGAACGCUGGCGGCGUGCUUAACACAUGCAAGUCGAACGAAGCAUUUGCGACAGAUUUUUUCGGAAUGAAGUUGCUUAUGACUGAGUGGCGGACGGGUGAGUAACGCGUGGGUAACCUGCCUUGUACUGGGGGAUAGCAGCUGGAAACGGCUGGUAAUACCGCAUAAGCGCACAAUGUUGCAUGACAUGGUGUGAAAAACUCCGGUGGUAUAAGAUGGACCCGCGUCUGAUUAGCUAGUUGGUGAGAUAACAGCCCACCAAGGCGACGAUCAGUAGCCGACCUGAGAGGGUGACCGGCCACAUUGGGACUGAGACACGGCCCAGACUCCUACGGGAGGCAGCAGUGGGGAAUAUUGCACAAUGGAGGAAACUCUGAUGCAGCGACGCCGCGUGAGUGAAGAAGUAAUUCGUUAUGUAAAGCUCUAUCAGCAGGGAAGAUAGUGACGGUACCUGACGAAGAAGCGCCGGCUAAAUACGUG
rnacentral:rRNA from 1 species